UUGGGGAAUCUCAUCCCAGAUCCACCUUGUUGAGGAUGACAUCUGCCCUCAUCCUGCAGUGGGAUGCUUCUUGAGGACUGGGUCGCAGCUCCUUCAAGGCUACCAAGGGCAUCUAUAUAACGAGCAGGGGACUGGGCUCCAGGGCUUCCAAGGCCCCUUCCAGCCCUGACAAAUCAAUUCUACCAUCUGCAUGUGCCACCUGGGACCUUGGAAGAAACAUUUUAAGAACUAAGACAUUCUGAAAGCAGUUAUGUUUCUGCCCAUUGCUUCCUUCGUCAGAGUCCAGGGGAACAGCCCGGAACAGAAAAGCAGGAGACCUGGAUGGCAUGGUUGAGAAGUGAAGAGUGGGCUCUGGAGCCAGGUGGCUCGGGAUGGACUUUCCACUCCACCUUUUAAUAGUUGUGUGGCCUUAGGAAGAGGAAUUUCUUCACAUCCCCUGAGAUCCUCAAGCAAAGACCCUUGGGAAUCAUUGUCUAUAUAACACGGCAUCUUGCUCACAGGAAGUGCUCAAAAAACAUUUGCUAGAUUAAAUAAUGAACUGAAAAUUCAACCACCUGACUGUGGCUGAUGCCAACACAGCCACCUAGAGAGAUGCAGGGAAUGAAGUCAGCGUAGGACCUGAUGCCGCCUGAUGCCGUCCAAUGGAGUCUGGGCCUCUUCCUGGGCGGAGACCUGACGGGGACGACUAUAGUCCCUCGAGCUUCUCACUACUGCGUCCCUCAGCCUGUGUCAGGACGGAAGGCUCUGGAAUAUUCCAGAUAGAAGCCCUUUCCUUUUGUGUGUCCCAUUCUGAAAGGCAGCGAAGAGGGACCCCUGCCACACGCUCUCAGAAGGGAUUCCUUUGCUUCACAAAGUCUGAGAGCUCAAUGGAACACCGCACAGAGGACAGAGGUUAUCCGACGCCUGGCUGCACACUGCCACUCACUAUCACAGGCUUCUGUCUCCCACUCUCAUCUGUUUCCCAGCUGACUGUCCAGAUUCUUGGGGAUCCCAGGUCCCUAAAGAUAAGCCCUGGCCUUGAAAUGGAAGAGGGGAAUCUCCAUGUGUGAGAGGAAAACAUUCCCAAUUUACAGGAAGCCUCUGGGCACCCCCUGCCCCACGUACUGGAAGGCAGAAGAUUGUUCCUGCUUCUGACUGGCUUUGCAUUUCAUUACAAAAGGCAGGCUCGGCAGCCCCAAAAGACACAUGCCUAAACUCCUGAAGAUUCUGUGCACAGCAAGAUGCCAGGUAGACUACAAAAUGAAAGUGAAAGUCAUGCAGUCGUGUCCAACUCUUUGCGACCCAAUGGACUGUACAGUCCAUGGAAUUCUCCAGGCCAGAAUACUGGAGUGGGUAACAUUUCCCUUCUCCAGGGGAUCUUCCCAACCCAGGGAUGGAACCCAGGUCUCCCGCAUUGCAGGCAGAUUCUUUACCAGCUGAGCCACAAGGGAAGCGCAGACUACAAAAGCCAAGGUUAAAUGUUAGGGAGCAGGCAUCAGCCAUGUGUGGUAACACGCAGGACUCACCCUGCCUCCGCCCCAUGUGAGAGUUGUCUCCUGACUUUUAAACUUGUGCCCUUCAACCUGAAGGCCAAGUGACCUCCAGGGUAAUGAGGGCCAAGACCAUCCUUCUGAUGUUCAACCUCGUCUGCUCACCCCGGGCUGCUCAUCCCUGGAUGUUCGCUUUUGUAUACACACGGGACAAUGCUCACGCCUGGAUGCUCACUCCUGGAUUCUCAUUCCUCACAGAGAUCUUCCGGGUCUCAAGAAGAUGACUAAUCCUGGUACAGUUAAUCACGUGCCUGCUCAGAUCCAGGAAAAAUGGAAAACUUACAUAUAGAGAAAGGAUCUAUAGACAGGAAGUAGGUCUAUAUAGAAAACUAUAAACUAUCCAUGGAAAAUAUGUUGUUUUCCCUAUAUAGAAAAAGUGCACAAUUUCUCUUGCUCUCAUGUGAGGACACUGAAGUUCAGAGAGGUUAAAGGGCGUAACUAAGGUCACAUGGCAAGCAAGGAGCAAGACAGUAUCUGAGCCCAAGUAUCUCGGAGGCCAGAGCCCACGCCCUUUCAGCUUUGCCACACAGCAUCACUGCACCACAAAGGGGCUGCAAGUAGGUCUGGCAGAUGUCGGGCAUCCCAAGAGCCAACAAAGGCUUUAUUCUAGCAGCCACAGGACCACAUCUUUCCCAUCAUUUAAAUCUAUUUCAGGGACUUCCCUGGUGGUCCAGUGGUUAAGACUCUGUACUUCCACUGCAGGGGGGCACAGGUUCAAUCCCUGGUUGGGGAACUAAGAUCCCACAUGGUAUGCAGUGUGGCCAAAAAAAAACCCAAAAAACCCAUUUCAUUUACAACCUAAUCCAAAGGUCAGUCACCUUCCUGGUUAAACAUUCUCCAGGUACUCAGUAGUCAUUGUCUGAGCACCUACUAUGUGCUCGAGCAGUGAGGCUUGUAGGGUGAUGAACGCCAGCUCCCCUCCCACCACCGGCCUCUGCCCCGGCCCGGCCCACAUGGCCCCAGCUCUGGCAGCGGAGUCUCACUGAUACGCAACAGAGUUCAAAAUCACAGGCUUGGCAGGAAGUGCCAUCUAUACAUAGCUCUACCAUUCUGUAAGCACCGUUGGCUUCUUCUGAAUAAAUGCUACCCUACAUUAAAUGCCAGAAUUCGGCGAGCCAUACUGCAUGUUUGCAAUGAGAUUGAGAACUAAAGGCAAGAUUGAUUCUGAUGUGAGCACCAGCAAAGCAAAUGGGUUUUUGAAAACCCUAUAAUUUCCCUGCAACCCUUGACUUCACUAAACACACAUUUUUAGACUCCAGCACAGUUAGGUAGGCAUUAAACAAAAAUGAGGUAGUCUAAUGAUGAUUUAUGUGUAGGAUAACCUUCUAUAAAGAAUUCUGCUCUGAUUUCAGGGUAACUUACAGAGGUGCCAACUUAAGCAAACAAUGCUGCUUGUUCUGUGUCCACUGCCACGGCGUGAUCCCAGGGCAGAGCGUUCAUCUGCAAUUGUCUUAAAUCUCCUGAAAUUCACCCAGUGGGUGCUUGGGAAAUGCAGCACCUGCCAUGAACUAAAUGGAAAAGCAAAACACGACACAUGCACACGCUGCCAGAGGCACCUGUGAACACAGACAUUUCUGCUUGACUGAGGAGCUGCGGCUGAUGGUUCUGGAACCAACCAACUGGCAUGCAAACGCAGAGCAGCCAGCCUGCCGGGAGACAGGAAGGGGUGCUGGGGAGCUGCGGGCAUGUGCUCCAGGUGGGGGCCUCAAGAGCUCCUGGGAUGCGAGCAUCAAACCAGAGAUCUGGUACACCCAUCCCUGGCUGUGUAACCGUGGGAGGGGCCCCUCCGCUCUCCCCAAGCGUGGUUUCCUAAGUGAGGUUAAGAACGUGUCUCCCACAGAUGGGUUGGAAGGAUUCAGGAAGAUGCUGCCUGUGAACUGGCUUUAUACACCUGAGAGCACUAUAUAAGUGAAAGAUGACGCAGACGUCAGGGCCCAGCGCAAGGUGACCCAGGUCACCUCCAAGAGCUGAAAUCAAACCAUCUGGGCCCAGAUCCUGCCCUACUAUGCCCUCUGUGGCCUUGGGCAGGGGACUGGCUUCUCUGCCUCAGACUGCUCAUCUGUAAAAUGGAGCUAAUCAUGCCACCUCCUACAUAGGACACGUAUGAAGAUGAAAUGAAUGACUCAUGAAAAGUACUUAUCACACAAGAUCUCCAUCACUGAUCACUCAUUUUCUUACUAUUACUAUCACUGUGAUUAUCAUUUCACCUUAGGCCAUCUGACUUAGGAGAGAAUUCCUUGGCUGCUUCAAAAUGGUUUCCUGUAAUCUCUAACCUUCAAAGGGUCUGUUAAGGCAGGGUCCCCCAACCUCUGAGAUCUAAUGCCUGGUGAUCUGAGGUGGAGCUGACAUAAUAAUAAUAGGAAUAAAGUGCACGAUAAAUGUA